UCGAGCGGGGGAAGGUAGCUUGCUACCUGACCUAGCGGCGGACGGGUGAGUAAUGCUUAGGAAUCUGCCUAUUAGUGGGGGACAACAUCUCGAAAGGGAUGCUAAUACCGCAUACGUCCUACGGGAGAAAGCAGGGGACCUUCGGGCCUUGCGCUAAUAGAUGAGCCUAAGUCGGAUUAGCUAGUUGGUGGGGUAAAGGCCUACCAAGGCGACGAUCUGUAGCGGGUCUGAGAGGAUGAUCCGCCACACUGGGACUGAGACACGGCCCAGACUCCUACGGGAGGCAGCAGUGGGGAAUAUUGGACAAUGGGGGGAACCCUGAUCCAGCCAUGCCGCGUGUGUGAAGAAGGCCUUUUGGUUGUAAAGCACUUUAAGCGAGGAGGAGGCUACCGAGAUUAAUACUCUUGGAUAGUGGACGUUACUCGCAGAAUAAGCACCGGCUAACUCUGUGCCAGCAGCCGCGGUAAUACAGAGGGUGCAAGCGUUAAUCGGAUUUACUGGGCGUAAAGCGCGCGUAGGUGGCCAAUUAAGUCAAAUGUGA
rnacentral:rRNA from 1 species